CUCCCGCCAGGGCCUCACAGCAGGCCGCAAUCCCACUCGCCCACCAGACCGCAUCGCCAGCGGAGUGGGGGCUGGUACUUGCCCCGAAGGUUGGUGGUCGGGUCCCCUUUGUCCUCCCACAGCAGCUGAGGGUUUUCCAGGCGAGUAGGGGCAUUUUGGAGCUGGCUAUUGCGGGUUUGUCAGGGAGCUGAGGCGCCCCAUGUCCACUCAGCUCGGCGGCCAG